UAGAGUUUGAUCCUGGCUCAGAAUCAACGCUGGCGGCGUGCCUCAGACAUGCAAGUCGAACGAUUAAAGCUCCCUUCGGGGAGUGCAUAAAGUGGCGCACGGGUGAGUAACACGUAAGUAAUCUACCUUCGGGUGGGGAAUAACGUUCGGAAACGAACGCUAAUACCGCAUAAUGCAGCGGCAUCGCAAGAUGACAGUUGUUAAAGGAGCAAUCCGCUUGAAGAGGAGCUUGCGGCAGAUUAGGUAGUUGGUAAGGUAAUGGCUUACCAAGCCUGCGAUCUGUAUCCGGUCUAAGAGGACGGUCGGACACACUGACACUGAACAACGGGUCAGACUCCUACGGGAGGCAGCAGUCGGGAAUUUUGGGCAAUGGGCGAAAGCCUGACCCAGCAACGCCGCGUGAAGGAUGAAGUAUUUCGGUAUGUAAACUUCGAAAGAAUGGGAAGAAUAAAUGACGGUACCAUUUAUAAGCUCCGGCUAACUACGUGCCAGCAGCCCCGGUCAA
rnacentral:rRNA from 1 species